CGAGUCAACGGCGAGUGAAUAGCGAGAGUCCGGGGCCUGCUGAUCCGACGUCGUCGGCGGUCGGCGGAGGAAGCGCGGAGGAGGCGAACCCGCAGCGGUCAGGCCGGUAUGGCUAAUCACAGGCCAUCAAUAGUGAGUGCUAUUCUUCUGAACUUUUCCUUUUUGAAUUACCCUUCUGAAGUUCUGAGUUCUGAAAUAUGAACUUGAGCGUCUGAAACUGAAACCACCUUUAUUGCCGUUUGUUGCGGGUUUGCUACUUACUCUGCAGUGAAGUUAUGAUAUAUUGAGCCAUGAUGUGUGCGUCCUGUAAAAGAUUACUGCCCCUUUUGUUUCUCUCAUUCGGCAAGGAGCGAGAUAACUGAAAAUUUGGUUAACUGGCACAAUUAUUCAUGAACAGAGAGAAGCUGUGAGUCAAAUUAUUGAGGUUAUUCUCAAUCCAUGUAAUAAAAGAAAAAUAGAUAAGUCUUAGUUCUGACUGCCAAGGCACAAAUAAAGGAGCAUUUCAGAUCCAUGAACUGCAAACCAAAUGGUGAGGCUAACCCUUCUGCUUUAUAAUAUGUAAUGUGACUAUAACUCAGUAUAUAUAGCAGUGGCCAACCCAUGUGCCCGUUACUGCCUGAAUCUAUACAACGUUGCACUCUCUAGUCUGAACCAUGGUUUGCUUCAUUCCUUUCAAAGCAUGCGUUUAAUUUCUAGAAUGCUAAUCGUUCACAUCUUGUCCUGAAGAUACCCGUGCAUUUUUAGUUUUCCAGAACCAGACAAAUCGGAGAUAUGACACUUGAACUCCUUUUACACUUUAACAACACAGAGAAAUUCUCCACUGAGCUAUGGCUUUAAGAUAGCUUUGUGGCCCGUGUAUUUAUAUAGAUAUGCUCCUAUGCUUCUAAAAUGAUGAGUCACAGUGGCUAAAGAUUUCCUUUUCCUCUGUUGAAACCUUGCUUUAUUUGGUACCAAUAGAAAGAUAAAAGCGGUGAUAUUUCCCAGUGGAGACUGGAGAGUAAUAUCUUAUUGUGACAUUACUUCUCUUUAUGACGGACGUUUUUGCCUAUUCAGGCUCUCUGCCUUACAGCUCAGGAACAUAAUUUGAUAACAUAAGCUGUAUCAAAAAGCAUGUGACAUACUACUUUUGAAAACUUUACUCUCUGUUUCUUCUUACAGUAAUCAAGACAAUCAAGAAAUGUAUGCUGGAGGAGGCUAAUUUAGACAAAACCAUUAUAAAAUGCCUGAGUGUAGCGUUAAUUUGAUCCAUUCCACUGCAAUUUUGCUGGUUUUGAAAUAUGCCGUUGUAAUGUAUGAUUGGAGCACUCUGCUGAGAGCAUGCUAUUUUCCAUGGCGUUUGCUUUUUGCCCACCAAGACUAGGGCAGACACUGAUGACACUGGGAUGACGGCAAAGGCAUCACCCUGUUUUAGUCAUAGCCCAAACCAACUACAUAAGUAAACAGAAUAAAUACUGGUGCAGCAAGCUGUGCUUGAAACACAACUUCAAAUGAAGAAAAAGAAAUGCCAAAAACCUUAAGAAUCUUACUCUGUCGUGUGGGGGCACCAUCUGGUUGAUCUGCAGUACCACUGUUCUCCUUCUGCUCCUCGUCCUCCACCAUCUCCUCUUCCCCAAAUAUAUGGAUUUCAUGCCUUGGACAGUUAGGAAGGAGAGCUGCUGCAUUUGUAAUGGUGGCCUUGGCAGCCUCCACCUCCCAAACCAUUGAACCCCGACAAUUAAUACUGACCCAGAGACAUUUGAGGGAGGAAAGGAGGCUAAUGCCAAAAUCAAAGUUGGCUCCAUAUGUGGAUAGUGUAUCAUGUACAACAAAUCUAAACCAAAGCCGGUUGAGCCUUGGCAUUGCACCUGCUUCAAAUAUCAGGCUCAUCAUUCCCUUCUUCUUUUUCAUGUACAUAGAAGGGCGGAAAUGGAAAUCCUCGAGACACUGGAAUCCAUUGGGGCUGAUAGUGAGCGAUUCCUGCGGGUAUUCUGUUGUGAAAAUUUGGAGACAGCGUAGAGCAGGCAAGUCUUUGAGCACAUCUACAUCUCCACCUCCCACUUCUUCUAUAAAAAUAACCAAGUUGGUGAGUACUGAGAGGUAGGAUAUCCACUUUGGGAGCCUAGUGAAAAUUGGGAUGUUGCUAGACAUCUGCACAUGACAUGGACGAGGGCACAAUGAAUCAAACAAGAAAUCCAUAGAACAACGUUCCGUAGUGUCAAUCCUUAGGGAGUGGAGGUUUCUUUCUCCUAGAUUACUGAAAGAUGAGAUCAAAGAUUUCUUAAAGCUUCCUUCAUCAUUAAUUGCAUUAUCACCACACCACUUAAUCCCAAGCACCUUCAGUUUGGUUAGGUUUCCUAACUGCUGCACAACUUCUGGUGAGUUUUUGCUUGCAUCCAGCAUCGAGAGCUCCUCUAGAGCUGUCAUGUCACCAAUCCCAUUUGGCAAUCCUACACCAUUAGGCACACAUAGGCGCACUAAUUGGUGUAGUUGAGCAAUAGUUGCUGGCAGUUCUUUUAUUCUUGUAGCUCUGAGAUCGAGUGUUUGCAAAUGUUGUAGCCUUCCAAUUUGGCUUGGGAUCUUACCAAUAUUACUAUUAUAGAGACUUAUAUACCUCAAGUGGCUCAAACUUCCAAUAUUCUCAAUGUCUCUGUCCUCUAGUGUAGGACAAUUUUGUAUAUCUAGGACUCGUAAAAUAUGAAAAUUCAAGAGAGAUGGUAUCUUCCCAACAUCACCAAAUACAGUAAAUGACCGAACUUGAGACAAACUGUUUGCCCCUAACCAGAGACUUUGUUCUGCACAGUUUCCCUGGAGUGAUAGACGCCGAAUUUUGUUAACCGAAGGUGUCAACUUAUGAUUAUCCAUUAUAGUGACAAAAUUUUCUUUAACUGAUAAUGAUAUAAUAAGAUCAAACAUUAUAUCAUGUACCCGGCAAGCUCUUGGCCUUCCACUGUAGUCAGUGCCUACUGGUUCGAUCAUGUUUCUAUUGAUGAGCUCACCAAAGUAGUUUUCUGCAGUAUCCUCUAAGCGUUGUCCUUGUUGUUCUGCAAUAAAUCCUUCAGCUAUCCAUUUCCUAAUUAAACACAACCGCCCGAUCACAUGAUCUUCUGGAAAUAUGCUUAGAUCCAAGAAACAUAUCUUCAAAUAGUGGGGUAGAUCAGAAUAGCUAAGAAACAAUAUUCUUUUAACAAGUUCCAGCUGAUGAUCUUGUUCAUUUGCAGAUCCAAGAGAAUUUCGCACCCUCUCCCACUCCCUUUUACAGAUUGGUUUAGUUGCUAAUAGGCUAGCAAUAUUAACUAUAGCUAGUGGCAAGCCAUGACAUUUUCUUAGUAUAUCAUCAGUAACUUCUUUCAGUUCAAGAGGGCAAUCAUCUUUGUGAUAGAAGAUCCUUUUCAAGAACAAGCUUUUUGAGUCAUCGCUAUCAAGGGGCAUCAUAGGGUAAAUGUAUUCUUUGUGUGGAAUGCUGCAGUAUUUAGCCACAUCUUCAAUUCGCGUAGUUGUGAUUAUUUUACUUGCAUUAUUGUUUUGGGGGAAAGCACAUUGUACUUCUUUCCAAGCUUGUUUGCUCCAUAGAUCAUCAAUUAUGACAAGGUACCUAUCAGGCAAUUUGUUGAAGAUGAAGCAUUGCAUUAAUCGCAAUCCAAAAUAACCACUAAAUAAAUAAAGGAAACUUGAUGUAAGGGUAGAUAAGGAACUAUGGACUCGAUAAAUUUGCAUAUUGCCAUACUUGCAUACAUGAGCAUCCUAUGAUAUAGACUUCAAAAAUCUACAUGUUACUGCUAAACUUUAAAAACAGAUCCAAACACCCAAACAUAUGCUGCCACUUAGCCAACAGGGAAUUCGCAAUAGUGUGCAUAUUAUUUGGAAGGUACUUUGUCGAGCAGUGCCAAAUCCAGUACUUGAAGUGUGUAUGCUGGUGUGCUUUAACCAUUUUUUCAGGGGCCAAGUCUUCAAGUCUGAAUGAUGUUUUCUGAUCCUUUCUUCUAUAAAAAGGUAUUUUGAUCUAUCAAGUGUUGGGCAUUCUGCAGUAAGCUAGGGGAAACUCAGUUGAACCUGAAUAUAUGUCUUGUUUCAAGCACAUUGAGCCAUUUCUUUUGGAGAACUACCUAUUUUUAUUUUUAUCUCCAAAAGUUUUCUAUCCAGAAAAAAAUAUGUAUACCUGUUUGAUUUUUUUAAACUUUUAUUGUGCAUAUGCACACAAGUGAAUGGAGUAUAUACAAAGAGACACCCAGAGCAACAAAUUCAAAAAUUUCCUUGAUAAAUCAGUCUAAUUUUGUUUUUAGUUGAACUUUAAGUGCCUUUGUAAAGAGAAGGCAGAUUUCAUAUGUCAUGAUGUAGCUAAUGCAUAUGCAUGCUAUUGAUCAUUGUAACAUAAAAGACAUGUUUCUUUCAUGUAUUAAUACGUACCUUUUAUUUUGAAGGUAAUCUCUGUUCAUCUUCACAAGCUGUGAAUAUUCUAAUGUUUUGAGAUAAAGAUCUUCCUGUAACCUUGCAAUGUGUUGAUUUUGAUCUUCUGUAAUUGGGCUACUCUUAAGAAACUGCAAUAGUGUGUCACUGAGGAUCUUAGUGACAUUAGGGCUUCGGGUCAUGGAGACAAAGGCUGUGCAGUUAAAUUGACUUUGAACCUUUUGGAAGACCUGAUUAGCAAGUGUUGUCUUGCCUAAUCCCCCGAAUCCCACAAUUGAAACAACCUUGCGCUGUGUGUGCAAACUAAUGCCAUCAUUGAGCCAUUGGACAAGUUUGUCUAUUUGUCUAUCUAUACCCACGAGUCUAUCUGCCUCCUCAUAUAGUGCAGGCAACCUGGGAUCGAUUGCCACUGACUUUGGAGAUAAGGUGGAUGGAUCGAUCUUAUACCUUUUGCGCCGAUCACUAACCUCCAUCACGCGUUCCUUCAGCUCAUUAAUCUGAAUACCGAUAUGAUAAUGUGCUUUCAGAGUGAUGACCUUGCUUAUGAUCUUCUGGAUGAACCCAUUGCAGGUUGCGACAUGGCCAAGGCGGUGCAUGAAGAUGUCAAUGCAAUCCUCGACAUCAUAUGACAGCUCCCUCAACUGACCCAUCCACUCCUUUACUUGCAAGCUUGCUUCCUCCGACUCGGACACCAUCUCUAGGGUGGUGCUCAUGCUUCUUAGUUCUUCUCGCAGAAAGAUGACCUGCCGAUGGACGCCUUGGAG
rnacentral:lncRNA from 1 species